rnacentral:lncRNA from 1 species
AUAAUACUAAGCAAGCUUAAUCAAAUUCAAAAAAAAAUUCAAAAAAAUUUCAAACCAACAAUAAGAAUUCCUAAAGAAAUAUUACAAUAAUCACAAAUAUCAUUCAAAUACAUCUCAAUUCAAUCUUUAUUUAAUUCUAGUCAAAAUCCUAUUACACUUCAUUCAAACUUUAGACCAAAACUAAUUAAAUCUUAAAUCCUAAUAAAAUCCUAAAUCCUAAAUCAAAUCCUAAAAAAAUCUUAAAUCAAAUCCCAAUCAAAUCCUAAACCAAAUUAUAACCAAAUCCUAAAUCAAAUCCUAAACCCUAAAUCAAACCCUAACCAAAUCCUAAUCCAAAUCCUAAACCCUAAAACAAACCCUAAUCCAAAUUCUAAACUCUAAAUAAAAUCCUAAUCAAAUCUUAAAUUCUAAUCUAAAUCCUAAAUCAAAUCCUAAUUCAAAUCCUAAAUCCUAAACCAAACCCUAAUCCUAAAUUCUAAACCAAAUCCUAAACCAAAUCCUAAUCCUAAAUCAAAUCCUAAUCUAAAUCCUAAUCAAAUCUUAAACCCUAAAUCAAAUCCUAAUCCAAAUCCUAAUCAAAUCUUAAAUCCUAAAUCAAAUCUUAAUCCAAACUUUAAAUCCUAAACCAAAUCCUAACCGAAUCCUAAAUCCUAAAUCCUAAAUCAAACCCUAAUCCAAACCCUAAUCAAACCUUAAACCAAACCCUAAUCAAACCUUAAACCAAACCCUAAACCAAAUCCUAAUCAAAUCCUA